rnacentral:rRNA from 1 species
UAUUGUCCCAGCCGCCGCGGUAAUACGGAGGGUGCAAGCGUUAAUCGGAAUUACUGGGCGUAAAGCGCACGCAGGCGGUUGGAUAAGUUAGAUGUGAAAGCCCCGGGCUCAACCUGGGAAUUGCAUUUAAAACUGUCCAGCUAGAUUCUUGUAGAGGGGGGUUGAAUUCCAGGUGUAGCGGUGAAAUGCAGUAGAGAUCUGGAGGAAUACCGGUGGCGAAUGCGGCCCCCUGGACAAAGACUGACGCUCAGGUGCUAAAGCGUGGGGAGCCAACAGGAUUA